rnacentral:rRNA from 1 species
CGCAAUGGGCGCAAGCCUGACCGAGCCAUGCCGCGUGCAGGAUGAAGGCCUUCGGGUUGUAAACUGCUGUGGUAAUCAACUAAAUCAAUGAAGUGAUUACUAGAAAGAGGUUGCUAACUCUGUGCCAGCAGCAGCGGUAAUACAGAGACCUCAAGCGUUAUCCGGUUUCAUUGGGCGUAAAGCGUUCCGAUCGGCGGUUUUGUAUGUCUAUGGUGAAAGACCGGAGCUUAACUCCGUGUUUGCCAUGGAAACUGCAUUACUAGAAGAGCAAAGGGGUGGCUAGAACUCUGCAAGUACCGGUGAAAUGGGUUGAUAUGCAGGGGAAUACCAAAAGCGAAGGCAGGCCACUGGGUGCUUCUUGACGCUGCUAGGACGAAAGCGU